CAGCAUGACAGCAAACAGAACCUUCCCAGUUCGCACGGCGGCACAGCUUAACUGUGCCGGGAGCGUGCAGUCCUCUGUCCCAGAGAGAAUCUCAUUUCCACAAGGCACGUCCAGACGGCACCGGCCUCUGCCCAGGACUGGGGGGAGCAGAGGAUGAGGAGACCGGCAGAGAGGAAGCCGAGAGAUGCUCUGAGGAAUUCGCUCCUGCAAGAGGAUCACAUGACAGAAGCCAAAAAAGCAUUCCCCACCGGAAUGGCACUCCAAGGGCUUCAUCUGGGCUCCUCUCUGCCCGGGGAGGGAUCUUACUUGGUUUCUUCUCCCCCUGCUCUGUGCCCUGGAACCUGUAAUUCUGAAAAUAGCCGUCCCUCAGCCCCCAAACCCAGCUGGAGCGGUGAUGCGAACAGGGCUGUCAGCAUAAUGCAGAGGAACGGUGGCAAGAAAGGGAAGAGGCUACAAUAAGGUAAAUAGUCUGCACCCUCUAGCCCUCUUGUUACUGUUGGGACAUAAGCUAAACUGUUUCAGCUAAUUCAUCUUAGUCCUAGAUGCAGGGUGCGUGAAGGCAUAGCCUGAACACAGCAGAGAAACCUCUAAUAUAUGGUCUGCGCUGGUGUAACGCUAGUUGGGUGGGU